ensembl:lncRNA KBTBD11-AS1 KBTBD11 antisense RNA 1
GACUUUGGUUCACCCUCUUUUCAUGCUCCAGAAUGAGCCCCGCCUGAGAGGAGGGACCCCUGCGGAAUCCCGCCCAGACCGCCCGGGGGUCUCCCCAGCACAUGGGGCGGGGGCUGCAAGGGGCGCCCGGCAGGACUCGGGAGCCGCGGCGCGGUGGGGCGGAUUCCAGAAUUUUUUAAAGUUCACAACACGAGAGUGGACGAAAUGUCGGAGCUUUUGCUCAUAUCCAGAAAUGUGGCCUCUGCCUCCCACUCGGGCCCUGCGGUGCAGACGGGUUCAGGGCGGCGAGGACUGAGCCAGGAGCGCCGAGAGUUCCAGCUGCUCCCAGGCUGGGUUCUAAUUAACGCUGGACCCCUGCUGUCUUUGCCAGUUCCAUGCUGUAUACACAUAAUGAGCCGUUACAACUCCAGCACCAAAGCUAACGCCCCGGGAACAUCUUUAAAACCUUUUUCACUCUGUUGCCAAGAAGAGUAGUACCUGCUAGAUGGAGUCUCACUCUGUCGCCCAGGCUGGAAUGCAGUGGUGCAAUCUCGGCUCACUGCGAUCUCUGCGUCCUGGGUUCAAGCAAUUCUCCUGCCUCAGCCUCCCAAGUAGCUGUGACUACAGAGAAACGUGAACAGGCCAAACAAAGCCUCACCUGGCUAUCCCGCCACCCUGGGGUUGGGCCUCCAAAGGCCCGGGAGGUCACCUAAGACACGGUGUUCUGAACAUGCAAGCCCGACAGCAUCUUCUCUACCAUUCUGCCAGAGUCCAGAGACCUGGGAAUAGGUCAUACCCCCCACUGCAUUUUACAAGCUUGGCAUACAUUAGGUUCUCAAUAAAUACUGAAUUAAUGAAAAAAUUGCUGAAGUAACUGAAAACAUCCAUCCAAACCCCACACCAUCUGGUAGAUAAGUAGUCUGUGGGGAGUCCCAUAUUUUUCUUACCUUAGAUAUUUAUUUGGAAAUGGACUGUAGGCCCAAUAUGGUCAAUGAAACUUGCAGAGGAACAUUUCAUGCCUUUAAUUAGUUCUUCAUAACUGCAGGGACCUCUAGAGUUCCUGAAAUUGAACUGGGUUGUAAUACUGUCAAGAAAAAGGAGGACCUAUCUUAAAUCUAUUUCAAGGGUAAUACUAUUUUACUAUGUAAAUUUUCCCCUGGUCAGGGACAGCCUGAUCAUGCAUGGUAGACUCGAAGCAUGCAAAUAUUUCAACAUGCAAAACCGCCCUAAAAAUAUAACCGAAGCUUAUGGAGUUGUCCAGGGUACAGUGGUUUACUGGCCCCUGAAUGCGGGACUCCAUCAAACUGGGUUCCAGGCUGGGAGGUCUCUGAACCCAAUUUCUAGACAGCCUGCUUUGGAGUUCAACUGAUGGGACCUUAGACACCAGCCUUACCCUCUGCAAGUCUUGUGAUUUGGAGCCAGAUACUUGGCCUCUCUGUGCUCCAGGGAGACACCACUGCACCUACCUGAGAGGACUGAAGGAGAGGAUCUGUGCAACUCACUCAGGAUACUGGAUCUUAAGCCAAUGGGUGGACUUACAUUCGUCACCUCUGAUUCUGUCUCCUCCUGCGCGGUGACUUAGCAAACACUUCUUCCUCUCCAGCUCUGCUUCUUACUCUCCAGCUCUGCUGCCCUGUUCCAGUGCUGACGCCAGACAACAGAUAAUUUCCCAAAUGCUUGUAUUAGCCCUUAGGAGUUCAUGUGUUCCUCCCCCAGCCAAUAAAGCUGUUAAAUCCCAAUAACUGUCAGGAAUGGAGCCAAUUGCUAUAAAGUACUUCCAGCUUCUUGGCAUGAAGAAAUAAUU